GCUAAGUCCAGGGUUAAAACCAAAUAAAUCGACUACGCAUGUAGAACUGGUUGCGGAGGGCUUGCGGACGGGGGUUCAAUUCCCCCCGGCUCCACCAAAUUUCCGCCAUAGCGCCAAAUGGCCGACCUUUACGGAUCGGCCAUUUUUUUUGCCGUGGGCGCUACCCGCUCUUUACGGUCACGGGUGCUUUGCAUCCGUCACAGGGCGGGACGGGCACAGGUCUUUGAUGCGAAGAGCCGGCGCCGGCGUCAGUCUUGCGCAAGUCGCUUGCGCAGGGCCUUGUAUUGACGGAAUUCCCUGGCGCAGAGAUGGCCGACCACAAUGCUGGGCAACAAGGCAAUCAGGGUGGUGAGGCUUUGGCCACAACACGUGGCGAAGCUCUCUUUGCCACGCAUCGCCGCGAUGACGUUGGCAGCGACGCAGCCAACCAGCAAUGCGCCGAC
rnacentral:tRNA from 1 species